rnacentral:rRNA from 1 species
AUUGAACGCUGGCGGCAGGCUUAACACAUGCAAGUCGAACGGUAACAGGGGAAAGCUUGCUUUCUUGCUGACGAGUGGCGGACGGGUGAGUAAUGCUUGGGAAUCUGGCUUAUGGAGGGGGAUAACGACGGGAAACUGUCGCUAAUACCGCGUAGAGUCGAGAGACGAAAGUGCGGGACCGCAAGGCCGCAUGCCAUGAGAUGAGCCCAAGUGGGAUUAGGUAGUUGGUAGGGUAAAGGCCUACCAAGCCGACGAUCUCUAGCUGGUCUGAGAGGAUGACCAGCCACACCGGGACUGAGACACGGCCCGGACUCCUACGGGAGGCAGCAGUGGGGAAUAUUGCGCAAUGGGGGCAACCCUGACGCAGCCAUGCCGCGUGAAUGAAGAAGGCCUUCGGGUUGUAAAGUUCUUUCGGUGACGAGGAAGGUUGUUGUGUUAAUAGCG